AGCAGCCGCGGUAAUUCCAGCUCCAAUAGCGUAUAUUAAAGUUGUUGCAGUUAAAAAGCUCGUAGUUGAAUUUCGGGGUCAGUAGGUCGGUCGUGCCACUGGUAUGAACUGGUUUUACUGAUUCCUCCCUCUUGAAGAACUGUAAUGCCAUUAAUUUGGUGUUGCAGGGAAUCAGGACUGUUACUUUGAAAAAAUUGAGUGUUUAAAGCAGGCUUUAGCUUGAAUACAUUAGCAUGGAAUAAUGAAAUAGGACGUUUGAUCCUAUUUUGUUGGUUUCUAGGAUUGACGUAAUGAUUAAUAGGGAUAGUUGGGGGCAUUAGUAUUCAAUUGUCAGAGGUGAAAUUCUUGGAUUUAUUGAAGACUAACUACUGCGAAAGCAUUUGCCAAGGGUGUUUUCAUUAAUCAAGAACGAAGUUAGGGGAUCGAAGACGAUCAGAUACCGUCGUAGUCUUAACCAUAAACUAUGACCGACUAGGGAUCGGAUGAUGUUAAUUUUUANGUAUCAUUCGGCNCCUUACGG
rnacentral:rRNA from 1 species